rnacentral:tRNA from 1 species
GCUUUUAUUGGAAAGUAGUCUUCCACUGGCCUUAGGAGCCAGCCCCCCUUGGUGCAAGUCCAAGUAAAAGCC